rnacentral:rRNA from 1 species
CCUACGGGCGGCAGCAGUGAGGAAUAUUGGUCAAUGGGCGGGAGACUGAACCAGCCAAGUCGCGUGAAGGAAGAAGGUACUGAGUAUUGUAAACCUCUUUUGUGAGGGGACAAAGGCGGCCACGGGUGGCCGUAAGUGGGUACCUGAUGAAAAAGCAUCGGCUAACUCCGUGCCAGCAGCCGCGGUAAUACGGAGGGUGCGAGCGUUAUCCGGAUUUAUUGGGGUUAAAGGGUGCGUAGGCCGCCUGUUAAGUGCGCCGUUAAAUGGCGGGGCUCAACCCUGGCCCGGCGGUGAAAACUGGCGUGCUCGAGUGCGCGGAACGUAUGCGGAAUUCGUGGUGUAGCGGUGAAAUGCAUAGAUAUCACGAAGAACCCCGAUUGCGAAGGCAGCAUACGGGCUCGACACUGACGCUGAGGCACGAAGGCGUGGGUAUCGAACAGGAUUAGAUACCCGUGUAGUC